rnacentral:rRNA from 1 species
UUGGAAUUGCUAGUAAUCGUGGAUCAGCAUGCCACGGUGAAUACGUUCCCGGGUCUUGUACACACCGCCCGUCACACCAUGGGAGUCGGUAACACCCGAAGUCAGUAGUCUAACCGCAAGGAGGACGCUGCCGAAGGUGGGAUUGACGACUGGGGUGAAGUCGUAACAAGGUAGC